rnacentral:rRNA from 1 species
AACGUAGGACGCAAGCGUUAUCCGGAGUUACUGGGCGUAAAGCGCGGGCAGGCGGCUCGAUGCGUCUGAUGUGAAAUCUCCUCGCUCAACGGGGAGAGGCCAUUGGAAACGGUCGAGCUGGAGGGCAGUAGAGGCAGGCGGAAUUCCGGGUGGAGUGGUGAAAUGCGUAGAGGUCCGGAGGAACACCAGAGGCGAAGGCGGCCUGCUGGGCUGCACCUGACGCUGAGCCGCGAAAGCCAGGGGAGCGAACGGG